GACGAACGCUGGCGGCGUGCCUAAUACAUGCAAGUAGGACGCAGUUGCGAACGGGUGAGUAACGCGUAGGUACCUACCUAUUAGAGGGGGAUAACUAUUGGCAACGAUAGCUAAUACUGCAUACUAGUAGAUGGACCUGCGUUGUAUUAGCUAGUAGGUAGGGUAAUGGCCUAACCAGGCAACGGUACAUAGCCGGCCUUGGAAGGUGAACGGCCAAACUUGGGAUGGGACACGGCCCAGACUCCCAAGGGAGGCAGCAGGAGGGGAUCUUCGGCAAUGGGGGGAAACCUGACCGAGCAACGGCGGGGGAGGGAAGAAGGUUUUCGGAGCGGAAAGCUCUGGGGUUAAGGAAGCGGUACUUAACCAGAAAGGGACGGCUAACUACGUGCCAGCAGCCGCGGUAAUUC
rnacentral:rRNA from 1 species